rnacentral:rRNA from 1 species
AGAGUUUGAUCCUGGCUCAGAACGAACGCUGGCGGCAGGCUUAACACAUGCAAGUUGAACGGGAUUUGUAUGGUGCUUGCACCAUGUAAUGAGAGUAGCGCACUGGUGAGUAACACGUGGGAACAUACCUUGAAGUGGGGGACAACAGUUGGAAACGACUGCUAAUACCGCAUAAUCCCUGAGGGGGAAAGAUUUAUCGCUUUAAGAUUGGCCCGCGGAAGAUUAGGUAGUUGGUGGGGUAACGGCCUACCAAGCCGACGAUCUAUAGCUGGUCUGAGAGGACGAACAGCCACAUUGGAACUGAGACACGGUCCAGACUCCUACGGGAGGCAGCAGUGAGGAAUAUUGGGCAAUGGAGGAAACUCUGACCCAGCCAUGCCGCGUGAGUGAAGAAGGUUUUCGAAUUGUAAAGCUCUUUCGGAUGGGACGAUGAUGACGGUACCAUCUAAAGAAGCCCCGGCAAACUUCGUGCCAGCAGCCGCGGUAAUACGAAGGGGGCAAGCGUUGUUCGGAAUUACUGGGCGUAAAGGGUGUGUAGGCGGAUUUGUAAGAUAGUGGUGAAAUACCUGAGCUCAACUUAGGAAUUGCCAUUAUAACUAUAGAUCUGGAGUGACAGAGAGGAUAUUGGAAUACCCAGUGUAGAGGUGAAAUUCGUAGAUAUUGGGUAGAACACCAGUGGCGAAGGCGAGUAUCUGGCUGUCAACUGACGCUGAGGCACGAAAGCAUGGGGAUCAAACAGGAUUAGAUACCCUGGUAGUCCAUGCUGUAAACGAUGAAUGCUAGUUGUCGGCAAAAGCCGGUGACGCAGUUAACGCGAUAAGCAUUCCGCCUGGGGAGUACGGUCGCAAGAUUAAAACUCAAAGGAAUUGACGGGGACCCGCACAAGCGGUGGAGCAUGUGGUUUAAUUCGAUGCAACGCGAAGAACCUUACCAACUCUUGACAUCCUCAUCGGGGCUUUCAGAGAUGAGAGCUUUCAGUUAGGCUGGAUGAGUGACAGAUGCUGCAU